rnacentral:rRNA from 1 species
GAUGAACGCUGGCGGCGUGCCUAAUACAUGCAAGUCGAGCGAACGGACGAGAAGCUUGCUUCUCUGAUGUUAGCGGCGGACGGGUGAGUAACACGUGGAUAACCUACCUAUAAGACUGGGAUAACUUCGGGAAACCGGAGCUAAUACCGGAUAAUAUUUUGAACCGCAUGGUUCAAAAGUGAAAGACGGUCUUGCUGUCACUUAUAGAUGGAUCCGCGCUGCAUUAGCUAGUUGGUAAGGUAACGGCUUACCAAGGCAACGAUGCAUAGCCGACCUGAGAGGGUGAUCGGCCACACUGGAACUGAGACGCGGUCCAGACUCCUACGGGAGGCAGCAGUAGGGAAUCUUCCGCAAUGGGCGAAAGCCUGACGGAGCAACGCCGCGUGAGUGAUGAAGGUCUUCGGAUCGUAAAACUCUGUUAUUAGGGAAGAACAUAUGUGUAAGUAACUGUGCACAUCUUGACGGUACCUAAUCAGAAAGCCACGGCUAACUACGUGCCAGCAGCCGCGGUAAUACGUAGGUGGGCAGCGUUAUCCGGAAUUUAUGGGCGUNAAGCGCGCGUAGGCGGUUUUUUAGUCUGAUGUGAAAGCCCACGGCUCAACCGUGGAGGGUCAUUGGAAACUGGAAAACUUGAGUGCAGAAGAGGAAAGUGGAAUUCCAUGUGUAGCGGUGAAAUGCGCAGAGAUAUGGAGGAACACCAGUGGCGAAGGCGACUUUCUGGUCUGUAACUGACGCUGAUGUGCGAAAGCGUGGGGAUCAAACAGGAUUAGAUACCCUGGUAGUCCACGCCGUAAACGAUGAGUGCUAAGUGUUUGGGGGUUUCCGCCCCUUAGUGCUGCAGCUAACGCAUUAAGCACUCCGCCUGGGGAGUACGACCGCAAGGUUGAAACUCAAAGGAAUUGACGGGGACCCGCACAAGCGGUGGAGCAUGUGGUUUAAUUCGAAGCAACGCGAAGAACCUUACCAAAUCUUGACAUCCUUUGACAACUCUAGAGAUAGAGCCUUCCCCUUCGGGGGACAAAGUGACAGGUGGUGCAUGGUUGUCGUCAGCUCGUGUCGUGAGAUGUUGGGUUAAGUCCCGCAACGAGCGCAACCCUUAAGCUUAGUUGCCAUCAUUAAGUUGGGCACUCUAAGUUGACUGCCGGUGACAAACCGGAGGAAGGUGGGGAUGACGUCAAAUCAUCAUGCCCCUUAUGAUUUGGGCUACACACGUGCUACAAUGGACAAUACAAAGGGCAGCGAAACCGCGAGGUCAAGCAAAUCCCAUAAAGUUGUUCUCAGUUCGGAUUGUAGUCUGCAACUCGACUACAUGAAGCUGGAAUCGCUAGUAAUCGUAGAUCAGCAUGCUGCGGUGAAUACGUUCCCGGGUCU